UGAGUGAAUUGAAACAAAUGGAGAGAGACAACUGUUUCAGCUAUCUUGAGUGUCUGAGUAAAUUGGAAAAACUUGUACUGCGACAUCUAUUAUGGAUAUGAUGAGUAUUUGCAGAGGAUUAGUUUCCCACACUCCCUCAAGAAGUUGAAUUUGAUUGUCAAUAAUCUGGAGUUGGAAGAGAUAUUGGAAAAGAUAGGGUGGUUGCCCCUUCUUCACAAGUUAGUAUUACAAUAUGGUACCUUCAAAACAGGCAAGUGGGACACUAUUGAGGGCCAAUUCCGGAGCCUCAAGCUACUACAAUUGUACUAUUGUAAAGGUCUAAAAAGUUGGACGAUGGCAGAGAGCUCCCACUUUCGAGUUCUGCAGGAGCUUCGUCUUCGAAGUUUGGAUGAAUUGGAGGAGAUCCCUUCCGAAGUUGGUGAGAUACAAACGCUGAAAUCAAUUUAUUUGGAAGAUUGCAGUGAAUCAGCGGUAGAGUCAGCUAAAAAGAUAGUAGAAGAACAAGAGGAUUUCCAAGGAGACCAACUAGACCUUCAUGUUCGAGCUGUGGUUCCAAAACGACACGAAAGACUGCAGAGCUUAGCAAGUCCCAACUUUGAAGUUACAGUGAGAGCUUAUUAGAAUCAUCCAAGAUUGUUAGUUACAAGUUCAGACCUUUUGUUUCGUAAGCUUAUAACACUUUGAGCUUUAAUUUUGUUGCUUCAAUUCAUUACUGUAAGCUAUCUCCACGUACAAGUCUUUCUUUAUUACUGUGUGUAUAGUAUAAUAAAGAAAGUUACUAGUAUUUAAUAACCUUAUUUUUUGCUUCUGUAGGAACGACCUUAAUUUGUUUAACAAAUAAUACCAAAACUAUAUUAUUGUUAUUGUUAUAGAAAAUAAAAUUUGUGGUUCUAGACUUUCCCGCUAAAAUAAAUACCUAAUUUUUUUUUAUAUUUUCCUAAAAAAAGUUGCCCAAAUUAAAAGUUAGUAUUUCCCUUUGGCAGUAUUUUUUAAGGCGCGAAGAGAGUGUUUAUUUUGAAGGAUUAGUCUUGAUAAAUAUAAAUAGUAAGAGUAAUCCCUUGUUUAGUUUGAUGGAUUGAAAUUUUGGAAUAUCUCAAAGUCCUUAAUUAUUUUUAUUCAUUUAAGCUAGUUUUAUUAAAUUCUUAUCCAUUGUAAAUGUGGGAUUAGAGAAAUCCUACUCAUAAGAAUAAAAUUAAUUCAAUUAUAUAUAUAUAUAUCCUAUCAAUCAUGCAGUAAAUGCCCCUAAGCCUCGUCGUAUUCCCUAGGCGAUUUCCAACUCUUUCUUUUUAACUCACUUAUGCAUGCAAUUCCUUUUAUUUACCUUCAUUUUCUGUUUAUUUUUUCAUUUACAUUUUUGAUGAUGAUAGGUUUAAAAUUUAAUAGAUAUGUAAAAUUAAUUAUGGAGUUUUAAAUUUUUAUUAUAAUAUAUACCUUGAAAAUAUAAAAUAGAUUGCAUGUGUACAUAUAAUAGAUUGCAUGUGUACAUAUAAAAAAAUAUAUAUAUGUACAUCGUUUCUAAUAACACUACAUAUCGAAUUGCAUAAUGAAAAUACUCAAUUGUGGUUUUAUUUUAAAGUUUACACAAUUUAAAUCAGGAUGCGGUUCGGGUCGGAAUACGGGUCAGGGUCUGGAUGCAGCCCGCUUGCACUUAAGUUUUUGUGAACUGAAAUUAUAAGCUGCAAAAUAAAUGAAAUAUAUACUUUCGAAAAUAAGAAAAUCUAUAAUCUAUACUAUAUUAAAAAGGGAGUUCUCAAUUCCAAAUUGAUUUCAAUGGCAAUUUUGAAAAUAUGUUAUAAUAUAAAGGUUAUACAAAUUGUAAAAAAAAUGUAUAUUUUUUGGUUAUCAGUUCGGUUUCGGGUACAUUUUUAGAA
rnacentral:lncRNA from 1 species